GACGAACGCUGGCGGCGUGCUUAACACAUGCAAGUCGAACGGAAAGGCCCUGCUUUUGUGGGGUGCUCGAGUGGCGAACGGGUGAGUAACACGUGAGUAACCUGCCCUUGACUUUGGGAUAACUUCAGGAAACUGGGGCUAAUACCGGAUAGGAGCUCCUGCUGCAUGGUGGGGGUUGGAAAGUUUCGGCGGUUGGGGAUGGACUCGCGGCUUAUCAGCUUGUUGGUGGGGUAGUGGCUUACCAAGGCUUUGACGGGUAGCCGGCCUGAGAGGGUGACCGGCCACAUUGGGACUGAGAUACGGCCCAGACUCCUACGGGAGGGAGCAGUGGGGAAUAUUGCACAAUGGGCGGAAGCCGAAUGCAGCAACGCCGCGUGCGGGAUGACGGCCUUCGGGUUGUAAACCGCUUUCGCCUGUGACGAAGCGUGAGUGACGGUAAUGGGUAAAGAAGCACCGGCUAACUACGUG
rnacentral:rRNA from 1 species